rnacentral:rRNA from 1 species
AUUGAACGCUGGCGGCAGGCCUAACACAUGCAAGUCGAGCGGAUGACGGGAGCUUGCUCCUUGAUUCAGCGGCGGACGGGUGAGUAAUGCCUAGGAAUCUGCCAGGUAGUGGGGGACAACGUUUGGAAAGGAACGCUAAUACCGCAUACGUCCUACGGGAGAAAGCAGGGGACCUUCGGGCCUUGCGCUAUCAGAUGAGCCUAGGUCGGAUUAGGUAGUUGGUGGGGUAAUGGCUCAACAAGGCGACGGUCCGGAACUGGUCUGAGAGGAUGAUCAGGCACACUGGAACUGAGACACGGUCCAGACUCCUACGGGAGGCAGCAGUGGGAAAUAUUGGACGUUGGGCGAAAGCCUGAUCCAGCCAUUCCGCGUGUGUGAAGAAAGUCUUCGGAUUGUAAAGCACUUUAAGUUGGGAGGAAGGGCAGUAAGUUAAUACCUUGCUGUUUUGACGUUACCGACAGAAUAAGCACCGGCUAACUCUGUGCCAGCAGCCGCCGUAA